GCAACAGUGGGACAGUGUGUUGAAAAAUACUUCAGUUGGAAGAAAAAUUGCUAAAUGUGGGCAAUAACAAUUUAAGACAGGGUAAGCAGAACAUAUGUAUUGUGUAAUAGAAUCUACAUAUUGUUCUGAAGCAUUCAACAAGUCAAGUUUAGUCAGAAUCAAGUAAAAUAUUACAGAAUGUGUGGAUUGUGUUUGCUAGAAGUUGCUGAUGUCAUGUUUUCAUGUGUACUUCUGCAGUAAGGUGAAAAUGGCCAUGUACACCCUUCCCUAGAGUUUGUGGAUUUGUUGUUAACCAUUUAAACUAUUUGCAUCUGUAAUAUUAGUCGUGCACUACAAAAAAUUAUGCAAUAUGGUCUUUGAAGCUUCAAAAAGCAUUAUUUUAUUUUACACAUGUAAGGGGAUUCCCAUUCUCCAGGAAACAAACCGGACAUACCUCCACUUUUCAGCUUCACUGCAGCCUAAAUGUCAGGAUUUGGAAACACCAGGGGCCAGAAAAGCUAGGCAGAACCAAAUAACUGAUGGCCUUCUGGUAAAUGGCUUUAUUACCAGGCCAGCUGGGGUGAAUUUUAACCCCGCCGUUGCCUUUAAGAAUUUUUCAUGUGAAGCAAGAUACCAACACCCCAAUGUCUGGGAAAAUCAGUCAUCAGAUUUUAUCCUCUGUCCUCAAGGUCUAACAUGGUGUGAAAGACCUGAGUCCGUUGUCAUGUGGUUCUCAGCCUUUUUGGGCCACUGUACCCCUUGGAAAAACAGUUCCCACCCCAAGUACCCCCUUAUCCAACCGGACAAAAAAAGGGAAAUAUUUCUAUUAAGAGGCUUUUCCAUGACAAAUAAGAGCAUUAAUUAAGCCAGUUUACACAUAUUGUCAACAUAAAUAUUGACCAAAUAUUAAUGUGUUGCUAAUUAGUUAUACUGUGCAUUGCUCAUUUUGCUCAAAAAUAAUAACUGUUAUACUACAUACAAUUCAAUGGGAAACUUGGGCCUGUCUUCCACUGAUGAGCUGUGUUAUCCGGUGGGGGAGUGUAGCCACUGCAGUGAUCAAACAUUUCUCCAAGAGGAGUUUGUUCCUUUGUUUUGUCUUAAUCUGGGCCAUUGCUCAGAAUGACACUUCACAGAGACAGUUUGAUAAUGGUACAUUCUUAAGUGCGUCUGCUGAUGUUUUUAUCGAGCAUGGUCUCUGCCAGCACAACUGCUGCGGGUCAUAUUAGCUCCUCGGCAAUGGAGUGUGGCUUUUUAGACUUUGCCCCUAGUAAAGACACUGCAUAUGACGCUUCGAGUGCUUUGGUUGAUGUUGUCGAUGCCUUUUGCAUUGUCAACUGACAUGAUCUAAAUUCUGAGAGCUUUCUCUUUAAAAAAAGUUGGGUUGCUUACCGACAUGUGAUGCGUGUUUAGUGUUUAGAUGCCGCUGCAGAUGCGCGGGCUUCAUGCAGUUAUUAGCCAGCUUCUCCCCGCAAAAGAAACAUUUUGGUUGUGGUGGAUCGGCAGCUGUAGACAUAAAGCCAAACAGCACAUUCUUCACAAAACUGCCGGGUUUUGACUGUUUGCUUGAUCCUUGCCUUUUUUGGAGGUUCGGUAGGAUUUUUGCUGCUGCUCACACGUUUUAGCCAGUUGUCCAUUUUGUCCAACUACACAGCUAGGUAGCAGGUGAACUGACGUAGGCUACGCUGCUUGCAUGCGUGCACGUUCCUUCUUGCUCACUCCUGUAAAUUACAUUGAUCAUUUCUCAUACUAAUUAAAGUUUUAACACAGUUUCUAACUUUUGAAAAGAAAAAAAUGCAGUCUAUUUUACCCUCCAUAAUGCAGUUGCUUUAAAAAAUAUAUAAUUUUUUUUUUUUUAAUCAAAAUUUUAUUAAUUUAUCAAAUCAUCUCGCGUACCCCCUGCGACCUUCUUGUGUACCCCCGGUUGAGAACCACUGUCAUAAACAGUGUCUAUCAAUAAUGUGCUUGUAUGUGUAGAAAAGAAAGAGAAAUAUAUAUGUUGGAGAUGGGUACGUAGGCAUGUACAGUUGAGGCCAAAAGUUUAUAUACACCUAGGCUAAAGAUAUUUAAAAUCAGUUUUUCACAACUCCUUUCGUGUUACCAUACAUUUCUUUUGGCGAGUCAAUUAGGGCAUCUACUUUGUUCACAUCAGAGGUAGGCUAAUUUUAAAACAGUAAAACAGAUUUAUUUCAGUUUUAAUUCACUACAUCAGAAUUCCAGUGGGUCAAAAGUUUACAUAAACCAAGUUGACUGUCUCUUUAAACAGUCUAGAAGAUUCCAGAAAUUGAUGUAAUGACCUUUUGGAAGCUUCUGUUUACCCAUCUGUCAUAAUUAGGAGUUAGCCAACUCGGCCAAGUCUGGUUCCACAAGUGCAAUUUCCAAACAACUGAAGGUACCACGAGCAUCUGUACAAACAGUUGUAUGCAAAUAUAAAAAUGUUGGGACCACACAGACACUGCAUUGUUCAGGAAGGAGGCACAAAUUUACACCCAGGACUGAACCCCAAGACAACAACAAAGGAACUGGUGAAGGAGUUUGAGGCAUCAGGUACCAAAGUAUCUACAUCUACCCUUAAGAGAAUCCUACAUCGCCAUGACCUGAAAGGCUUUCGUGCAAGGAAGAGACUCCUACUCCAAAACUGGCAUAAAAAAGCUAGAAUGAAGUUUACGGGUGAUCACCAUGAGGAAGACCUAGCUCUUUGGAGGGGUGUUCUCUGGUCAGAUGAAACAAAAAUUGCACUGUUUGGCCAUAAUGAUCAGUGCUAUGUAUGAAGGAAAAAGGGUGAGGCUUUUAAUCCGAAGAACACCAUUCCAAGCAUGGGGGUGGCAGCAUCAUGUUGUUGGGGUGUUUUGCUGGAAAAGGGACUGCACUUAAGAAAAUAGAUGGCAUCAUAAGGAAGGAGGAUUAUCAAGAAAAAUUGAAGCAAUGCCUCAAGACAUCAGCUAGAAAGUUAAAACAUGGUCACAACUGGGCCUUGCAGCAGGACAGUGAUCCUAAGCAUACCUCCAAAGUUGUAACAAAAUGGCUUAAAGAAAACACAGUGAAAGUACUGGAGUGAACAUCACAAAGCCCUGACCUGAAACCCAUAGAAAAUUUGUGGACUGAACUGAAAGAGCAUGUCCGAGCAAGGAGGCCCACAAACUAGGGCUGGGCCGGUUAUUUCAUAAUCGUGCGAUUGACGGUCGUCGACGGUCAUCGACACACACGCAAAAAAUCCGUCAUAAUCGCCAUUUGUUAAUGUUUUUCUAAAAUGUAUACUUUUUCAUAAUGCUGUUGCCAAAAUAAUCUACCUUUCCUUAUAAAUAUACAUAAAUAACUUAAUGUAUGCUUAAACACCACACAAUCCCUCUAAAACAAAACCGACAAUACUUCUCCCUGCAACAAUCUUUAAAUUGCACACUGUCUUUGAAGUUUACCAUGCUCCUCCGCUAAUCUGGGAGGGGGUCGGGCAACAUUGCAAAGAAAGCAUUGUUUUUAAUCUCCCUUUUGCAGUAUACUAUGUAGUAAUAAUAAUAAUAAUAAUAAUUAAAACAACAACUAGGCUACUAUUACUACUACUACUAAUAAUAAUAAUGUAUUAGUAUUACUGUUGUAAUUACGUUUAUAUGGGCGAAUGAUAUUGCUUAAUAUAGUCUUAUCAAUAAAGAUUUCACGUAGUUUGACUAAACCGAGGUUCCUAACAUUUCUGAUAGUUGCAGCAACUUACAGCGCUCUGAUUGAUGGAAUGAAAUCAUCUCAUCCAGUGAAUGCACUCACAAUUUUACUGACAAGAACAGAGACUUGAGGUAAAAUCAAGAUGGAGCUUGUUGACAAAACCAACGUUACAUCGCCAAUUUGGACCCAUUUUGGAUUUAAACCGAAUGAAGACAGAGAACCAGACAAUUCAAAUAAAUCAUUUUGCCGAAUUUGCAAUGCAACAAUACCCAUAAAACAGUCUAACACAACAAAUCUGAGAAAUCACCUCAGAACGCACCACCCAAGCGAAUCUGCUCAACUUGGACUUACAUCCGAAGCUACAACACCAUCUACAUCUGGCCAGGGGCAGCUGAGUGUGGUCCAAGCAUUUUGCCCGAGGGGUGAAAUAUAAGCGGGACAAUGACAAAUAGAAAGCUCUGACCGACAGCGUAACCAAAUUAAUUAAACCGUCGCAGUCAGAAAGACAGGCAGUGCCGGUCUGUUUUAUUUCGUUUUAACAUAGCCUACUUUGUUUAGCACUGUAAAAAUAAACAUUUUACUUAUUUGAUCUAUUCCAAAACGUUUGAGAAUGUUAAAUCUUUGUUCUGUUUAAAGAAAUAAGUGUUGUUAAAGGGUUCAUUCUAUUCUACUUAUGCUGCCUUUUUGUAAACGAAAAGGCCAAAAAUAAUGACCAAAAUAAAUUCAUUUGAUUUAAUUUGACUGUCGCUAAUUAAAUGCACAUUUUCAUCUCUCUUAACAGGCAAUGUCGAUCAGUUUUAUUUCAUUUCAUUUAUUAACACUGUCACUCCUUAAAUAUGCUAUAGGCCUAUUCUGCCCUACAAAGCCUAACUGCAGUAACUACGCAAAGGGUAAAACUGAGAAAAAUGGCUUUUUAACUGGCCAGCCAAAUGGGUUAUAGGUAUAUCAUUGAUAUUGCACUAAUUGUACAUGUAUUCAUGAGGUAAUUUUUAUGCCCAAAAACCAUGAUGGCUGAUUUGACCUUUGACCCCAAAAAUGUAGUUACUGCACUCUGCCUUUGCAUUGCCUUAAAUGGUUCUAAUAGCAAUGCAAAAGCAAAGUGCAGUAACUACAAUGUUUAUGUUUUCUUUCAGCUUUUAUAUUGUGUUUUCAGUGAACAAAAACUAUUUUGACAAUGAUUUUGUUAUAAUUGUAUCUAACAGUAUUUAACAACUCUACUUAUGGAUUUGUACAUGUUUAAUUAAAUCUGGAUAAAUUGAUAAUUUUAGAUGUCGUAUUUUAGUCUUAAUAUCAUUUCAUUUCACUUUUUUACUUAUUCUUACUUAUUACCUAUCUAGAUAAUAAUUUUCCUAUCAAUUAAACUUUGCAUCAUCAUCUUCAUUUUCAUCGUCGUUGUCACCGUGACGAUCACAUUAAUAAUUUCCAUUAUCCUUGUCUUUACUAUUUAACAUAAUGAAUAAAUACAAGGCUACACUGAAUCACAGUAAAAUUUAUUUAUUAUAUUACAUGUUUUUUUAACUUAUUUCAAUAACAGCUACAUUUAAUUUAGAUAUUUAAUUUUAAUUAAAAACAUGAAUUUCUUAAAAAGGGAAAUAUAGUAACAUUUCAUAUCAGAUUGUAAUUACAUAUUUUAAAUUUUAUUUCAAUAACACUAAAGUUUGAUUAAGAUAUUUGACUUUAAUGAAAAGCAGAAUAAUUUAUUUAAAAAGGAAAUAUAUACAGUCCCAUUUCAUGUCAGAUUGUUUGACUGACGUUCAGCUCACUCUUCAUCUGCAGCACUUUCGCCAAAACACCCGGUGGUUUGGUGGCAUCAUCGGCAGAGUUUUGUCAGAAUGUCUGCCUUCUUCUGCCUCCCAACCCCCUUCAUUGCAGGCCUGAGUUGCUCAGGGAUGUCAAGAGUGGUCUUCUUCAUGAGGAAGUCCAGUGGUGUGAAUUCCUCCUGAUCGUGGGAGAGUUUCACCCACAUGCUCCUUGAUCCUCUCCUGAAUUGGAUCUCUGCCAUCUCAGCCAGAUGAGGUGCAUUCUUCAGCUUCGUCAUGGAGUGCCCUGCUUUCCAUGCCCGGAUGUCCUCAUUUUGCAGUUCCACCACAUCCACUUUUCCAGAGAUGAUGCAAUUACGCUUCUGAAGUCCUGAAAAUCAAGGACAACACCCCCAGGCCGCCUCUUCAUCUCUUGCUCCACCCCAUGAUGAAAACUGUCAGCACUCAUGAAGGUGUGUCCUGGUUCAAAAUAUUUGAGUGUGAUGUCUUCAGUGGAGUUGGAGUUGUGGUUCACCAUACUAGUGAGCGUCGUCAGAAGGCACCAGUUCUUGUUCUGUGCUGUGCAAUUGUCCAUCCACAGGACAAGAUGAUGGACGUCGCGCUCCCUUUGCAGAGCACAUACAUAGGCAGACGCCACCUCCUCUGCCUUCCUCCCAGCUAUCCCCUCAUGCCAGAUCACGGAGAUGCUCUUUUUCUUUGAUCCUGUAUUCUUGCCAACUGUGGCAAAGGUCUCAUGGAAAACAGAGAUCCGUUUGGUGAAGACUGCUGUCUUCACCCCAGGCAUUCGGGGCAGCAUGAUUACUUUCUGGAGGUCCACGCUGCGGAUGGACAGGUUGUCACUUUGUUGUUUUUCUGCAUCAAGCUUGUAGUGAUGCCUCCCUCUUGCCGCUCUAUCCUUGUGGUCCUCCCACUUUUUACAAGUGGAGCAGUCUGGAGUGGCGUCCUGGUUGGCAACCUGGUGUUCGGCCUUCACAUGGAGCUCACGCUGGAGACACUGCUCGCACUGCUCCUCUCCCAGCUUGGUGAAGCUGAUGUUGCUGUUCUUUACUGCUUUCCGGUACGUUUCGUACGAACAUUGGUGGUUUGCAGCAAACUCCUUGUACAUCAGCUGCACAGUUACAUCACUCGGGAGGUAUCUUCGAUUGGGGGCGUGUUCUCUUCUAUAAUGGCUAACUGUUGGAUUAAAUGAUUCAAUGUGUUUGUAAAUUGGGGUCAAAUUUAUUUUAUUGGCUGGGGCAUGUCUUCCACGGCGCUCUUUGGGGGGUGUCAAGCUUGAUGGGGAGCAGUUCCCGAUGACUGUUUGGAUGAGCCUGUUAUUUUUUGGAUGGUAUCCCAGAGUUGCGAGAAAGAAGGUCUUGCAUACCUCUUGUGACUGACCCAGGUCAUUUGUAAGAUGGUAAGACAACGACUUGCUACGUCUGCUGGGACCAGCAGAUGUGAACCGUGCAAUCUGGCGUUGAGAGACCCUGGUGAAAAUGAAUGCCUUCUUCCCUUGGUAGGUCAUUUUCCAGUAUGUGGCAUGCACUGUCUCCCUCCUUUCUUCAGUUAUUUUGCCCCAGCACUUCUUCCGACAUGUUGGGCCACAUGGUUUCCCCAUCUCGGGUUUUUGGUUCUGCUGACCUGGUUCCUCCUCAGGGUUAUGGGGAUGGGUGUCACUCUCCUGGUCUUCACGGAACUCAUACACAUCCCCAAGCUCAUCAGGCACAUCUCCAGGCACAUCCUCAGGCUCAAAUUCAGCUUCCAGGAAUGCAAACAAUUCAUCCAAGGUCUGGUUGGCUGGAGGAGCUUUCUUUGGAGUACUGUGUAUUGCAACUAAAGAAGAAAUAUAAAAUUAUUAUAAUUAAAAACAUUUUUUUUUUUACAACAAGUGGACCUACAGGGCAACAUCUUCACUCUGAUAAAUAUUAAUUACAUUUCAUUUUAUAGGUAAGAACUUGUAUCAAUUAGGCCCAUGGCCAAACUAAUGUGUGAAUAGGCUAACACUAAGUAAUAAUAAAUAAAUUUGCACCCUUAAUAAAAAUGAAGAACAAAUGAUAUUUCUGAGACAUGUUUAAUGCCCAAACAAAUAGAAAAUUGCAUUGUUAAUAAUAAUUGAAGUAAUCAAAUUCAUUAUUGUUAUUUUCUAGCAGCUCCAAGAAAGCUUAAUCUACCCUAAACCAUCCAAUAUAACUAAUAACAGCCUGUAUUGGGAUGCACUACAUUGUUGAAAGGUGCAACAUGCAAUUUAUGACCAAUAGAUGGUGUUUAGAGACUCUGGCCACACAAACCGCACAGCCAGGCUUCACAAGUUACUCUAGCAGACAUAGCUGCGGGAAGUAUAAACAAGAAAAAAACACAUUGCAUAUUGCAUAUUUAAGAGAAAUAAAUAUAUAUUUUAAACUGUACAACUGACAUAUCUUUUUUUUAUUUUUAUUAUUAUCGCGAGUGGCUAGCGUGACUGUUUCCGGUCAUUAGCUAUGGCUCACUCUUUGUUUACAUCGGACAGAACAAGCGUGCCUAGGAUGUGUUGUUGAAUGUGUUGAACUUUUUAAUGUCAUCGUUACCUACCUGGGUAUUUUCUUUUCAACGCCAGUUCCACCAUCCUCUUUCCCCUGGAUAGUGCCAUCUCAUACAGAUUUGUUGUGUAAGGUUAGAUGGGUAGAGAGGUAAAACGGCCGGUAGGAUCCCAAAGCUGCAGUAACUUCACUUACUGCGGUCUGCCAUGGUUUUGAGUCGGAUUUUGUAGUUACUGCAAUUUUUAUACAGUUUUUUCUCUAAAACAAAGCAAGAUUUAACUCUAAAACUUUGUCGCAAGAUAAAACAGAUAUCAAGAAGUUCAUUUUUAGUUAUAACUCAAUUUCGACCAAAUAUGUAGUUACUGCGGUUAGCCUUUGGAAGGCAGAAUUGUUUAAUUUCCUACUUAAAGUAAUAAUCUCAAAUAUUUUCAUUAAAAUAAAUGUUUGUUAAGUCACUAUCUAUCGCCAGAUUAGGUAAAACAAUGGUGAUUAAGCAUAUUAUUAUAUAAAUUUAUAUUAUUAUUAUUAUUAUUUAUGAUUAAAGAACUGGGUGUCUGUGGCGACAUUCCCGGGAAAAAAUCACAAGCGGCGCAUAGUUAGUGACGCGUUUUCCAUCACCUACCAGUAUUUGGUCCGCCAGAGAGAGUAGACGGAGCUAACGCAACAGGCUCGCUCUUCAACUCACUUGUGUGUGAGCGGUGUACUGUUUUUUGUGGUGUCUGCCAGUGUUACAAUAACAGAGGGGGGGGGGUUGUGGGGUGGUGGUGGUGGUCAUGGAACCCUAAAAAGUUUUUGUGUAACAUGAGAGGUCAUAUUAUUUGUUGAUGUAGAUUUUGUAUUACAUUUGAUGAUAAUGUAACAUUACUAAAUUACAUAGCUAUUUGCACAGCUAACGCUUGCUACAGGACCAUGUCAAGAAAGGCAACAUUAGUUUAGACAACGUUGCGCACAGUAUCCAUCUCUCAUAUCAGGUAACGUUGCGUUAGCUAGCUAGCUAAUGUAACACAAUCUAAUGUCAGCUAACAAUUAUAAAAAACGUUAGCUAACGCUACCGACCGGUACCGACCUCGCUAAUUGUCUCUCGAAUGCAAUGCUACCUUGUGCAAUGUUGCAGUGUAGCUAACUAAAGAAGGCCAGUUCAGAUCAAUGAUUCGCAACGAGACUGGAUGCAACUUGCAAAAUUCCAAGAUGUCUGAUUGUAAACGUUCUAAAACGGCACUUGGCAAUUUGACAAGGUGGGUCUUUUGAGACCCCAGGCAACGGCUGCAGACGCUCUGCAACUAACCGGUUCACACCACUGCAAUUUUCUCUGCAAUAUUCUGAAACCGUUUCAUCUCGUUGCGAAUCAUUGAUCUGAACUGGCCUUAACGUUACCGUUAUUUACCUUGCCAUCAAGUUCAUUAUGAUCGGAGUAAAGCCGGGGUAUAGGUGGAGCAGAGUCGGGUCUGAUUUCUGUGUAACGAUGUCAAGCCGGAGAAAACUAAAUAAAAGAAUAUGGCAGUAUGGAUUAGCGUUGUUAUUAUUUUAUUACGCUUCCUCAUAUGUUCCUUCAGCCUUGAUGAAAUCUCCUUUGUUUUUGUUUUAUUCUUCUUGUUCUGAUUGCUAAUUUAACACCCAGCUCAGCUUUAUCCUCGAACAGUUUAGCUAGCAAAACCAGAAACACCAAGGGUAACAUUUUGCAAGGCAGUUGUUUCAAAAAUAUCAUGCAACAAUCAUUCACGAAAAAAAGACUGUUUAUUGUGCACAAGAUAAAUAAUUGCACGAACCACAGCGAAUACCGGGAAUUCUUCUCUGCAGUGUAAAGACCACAGAGUCUUUUUGCUUCAUACCGGGCAAAAGGUGGAUAAAGAAUGUUUGUGGAAAUUGAUCAUCACUAAUUCUACCCCAGGUCUGCUACAGCAUUUUAACCCGGCUCAGCAGUGUAAAGACCGCUUAAGUUCACCUAAUGUUAGACAAUGAAUGAGUAUGUACAUAACGUUACUUUUAUAACUAGGCUAAGUGUUACAGUUGGCGUGUCCCAGUGCCAACUGACUGACGUCACACAGGCGACACUGGUUGGAUCCGGUUGGAUCUAUGGGAAGUGAGGUCCAAAAACACACCUGCAAUUACCGCUUCUCGCCAUUGGUACCGCCAAAGAGAACGAAACAGAAAUCUUCGAGAUUGUAACUUUAAUAUCUAAGAAUGUUUAGGCAAUUUAAUUCGUUUAAACAAAUGUUUAGCACUGUAAAAAUAAAUAUUCUAUUUGUUUCAAAAAGUUUGGAAAUGUUAAAUAUUUGUUGUUUAUAGAAAUAAGUGUUAAUAAAGUUAUGUUAUUAAUUAUAUUCAACUUAUGCUGCCUUUUGGUGAACGAAACGCCCCCCCCCCCCAAGACAAGAUGAUUAUGCCGAUCGAUUCGAUUACCUGGGUGACGAUGGUCGGCAGCAAAAAUUCCAUGACCGUCACAAUCCUACCACAAACCUGACUGAGUUACUCUAGUUCUUUCUGGAGGAAUGUGAAAAAAUUCUGGUGAAGUAUUGUGAGGGGGAAGGCUACCCCAAGCGUUUGAUUCAAGUUAAGCAAUUAAGAGUGUCACCAAAUACUAACAAAGUGUAUGUAAACUUUUGAACCACCAACAGUCUGAUAUAGUACAUAAAAGCUGAAAUAAAUCUGUCUCUUAGCUAUUAUUUUGAAAUUACCUGUUUUGGAAAUAAACCAAUAAAUUUUGGAAAAAUAAUUUGUCAAAACAUGUCAACCUAGAUUUACACCUCUUUAGAUGUCUACAUUCCAUCUAUAUUCAGGCUUGUGCUGACUGGGCUACCUUCUUUAAAGGCAUGAGCAAAUGACGGCAUUAAUGAAUGUGUUCUUAUUGCAAAGCCGUUCAUGGCCUUUUAACCAAGUAGAUGUUUAUAACUAUUCCCUUAUGCAAUAUUGACAUCCAAGUUAUAUCUGAAUGUUCAAUGCAUAUAUUUAGCAAAAGUUAUGAACGGGGAGCCAUAUGCAUUUCAUGACGCCAGAUUUAUUGAUUUUUACACUCUGGUGUUUCUACUGUUUACCUACUUUUUUUACUAGGCUACUGUAGCUAACAUUACAUUUAAACGCCACGUUUCUAAGUUAUUGUCAGCUAUCCCUGCUCUCUCUGUAUGAACAUACAAUCAAUUCGUAGGUCUGUCAUGUCUACAACACCCCAUUAAUAACACUUUGAUUUAAAAACUUUACCAAAAAAAUUAAUACCUAGCAGUAGUCUACAUCAAAAAAGUACAUUUGUACAACAGUUUUUUAAUUGCAUUUGAGACGCUCAUUAAACAUCUGAGAAUGUAUUCAUUAACUUCAUGAACCCAGAUGACGCCUUUCGGCAUCAUAAAUCACUACAAUUUUUUUUUACAAUUUUUUUCUUUAUGAAUGAGGGGAGGGUCUGAACUUUGAGUGGCAUGUAUCUUUAGCCAUCAGGUGCUUUAACUAUGUCAACAGAACACGCCCAGAAUUUUGCGUCAGGGAGGCAAUGGACGCCAGUAGACUUCAUGCUACUGAAAGUUUGUUUGUAAAAGCUUUUGGAGUUUUUUCCAUUUUGAAUUUGUUUUGAAAUGGCUUGAAAGAUGCAUUUGAAGAGACACGUGGAUGCUAAAAAAGCUCUUGAAGCUAUUAUUACACACUGUGAGUAAGAUUGCGGUUUUGCGAAAAAAGUGGAAUUAUUUUGCAGAACCGAGAAUGAAUAAUUACUUCUCUUUGGCAUGGAUCCAUUUGAAGACAAUAUCGGGGAACUGCUAUCAGCACAUCAAUGCACUGCCCUGCCUCCAAUCCCCUCAGCUUUGCCACCAACUCCCCCGCCACCUUCCCCGUAUCUCCAACAGCAAGUUAAAAUAAUAUAGUAAUAAAAAAGUAAAAAAAGAGAUUUGCCCUGCCCUGUAUAGCUGAAACCGUGAUUCAUCAGUGAAGAGGACCGUUCUCCAGCGUGCCAGUGGCCACCAGGUGCGCUCUUGUCCACUCACUUCGAUUGUGACACCGAACUGCAGACAAAUCAAGACCCCAAUGAGGACGUCGAGCACGGAGAUGAGCUUCCCUGAGGCGAUUUCUAACAGUUUCUGCAGAAAAUCUACGGUUGUGUAAACCAGCUGUUUCAUCAGCUGUCCGUGUGGCUGGCCUCAGUGAUCCUGCAGGUGAAGCAGUCGGAUGUGGCGGACCUGGGCUGGCGUGGUUACACGUGGUCUGCGGUUGUGAGACGAACUUCCAAAAUCUCUGAAACGACGCUGGAGGUAGCUUAUGGUGGAGAAAUGAACACCCAUUACUCUGGCAACAGCUCAACAGGACAUUACUGCAGUCAGCAUGCCAAUUGCAUGAUCUCUUAACUCUUGAAGCAUCUGUGACAUGGUGUUCAACAACAAAAAAUGCAACAUUUUUGGGGGGCCUUUUAUUGACCCCAUGAUAAGGAACACCUGUGUAGUGGUCAUGGCUUUUAAUCAGCAUCUUGAUAUGCCACACCUGUGCAGGAGAUGGAUUAUCUUGACAAAGGAGAAAUGCUAGCUAACAGUGAUAUAAACAAAUUUGUGGGCAAAAUCUGAGAGAAAUAAGAUCUUUGUGCACUGUUACGACUAGAGCCCAACCGAUAUAUCGGUUUGGCCGAUAUAUCGGCCAUUAUUUGACUAGUUUGACUACAUCGGGAUUGGCAGUUAUGCAGCCGAUGUGUCCCGAUUUUUAAAUAAGUAUAAUAAACAAAAAAAAACAUUGAUUAUUUAUCUGUACUUGUCUGUUCGAACGUUGUAAUUGCUAUUUACUAGAAUUAUCCGGUAGAGGGAGCUCUAAUACAAGUGUGAACUGCAGCAGCUGACGCGCUACUUCUGUAAUAAGACAUUUGUCACUCGUGCCUCAUCCAAUAUUCUCCACUGCAAGACUUGUCUGCACAGAUUCGAUUGCCGCAAUAGAGGUAUGUAUAUUUAGUGAAAGUUUUUAAGUAAAUGCGUUUAUACGACCACUAUGUUUAUCAGUCCUCAUUAUCAAGCGAGCAAGCUAGCUAACAUUCGGUUCACUUUAGCAAGCUAGCUGGCUAGCAAGCCUUUAUGAAGUGGCAGUGAGCACACAAGCAGCGUAGGAUCUACAUUUCCAGAGGACAUCGCUGUAUUCUCAAAUAAAUAACCAGCCAAAAUAAAAUGGUAAUUGAAUGCAUCACACAUUUGUUUUUUAUCUGAGAUGAUGAUAUUAGCUACUAUAUGAUGCUGUGUCAAUAGCCAACGCGUUAUUGCAAGCGAGUGUCAUCUAGUCACGCGUCAUCGUAGCAAGCUAACCAGACAGUAAAAACGCUGAUAAAACACUUCUAACGUGGAUCAUUUUAAGCCAUGUUAUCUAGCUUUGUCGCGGGUAACCUGCACGAAAGCGCAUUGUAGUUUUUUUUCACGUAUUUCAUCCAGUCAGUUUAAUUUCAUCUAACGUUACACUUGAUUCACUCAUUAGCUCCACUAGAUAAUGUCUUACUCUUUGAGAUCAUGUAGUAGAAAUAAAAUAAGAAAAUAUAAUUAAUUUACUGAGAAUAGAUACUAAGAAAUAAUAAAUUAAUAACAACAACAACAAUAAUAAUAUUCAUAAAAAUACGUUUGAAACUGGAAAACUGAUUUUUUUAAAUUAUUUUUUUAUAGAUGGCUGGAAAAAAAAGGAGUAAAAGCAAGGUGUGGAGUUAUUUUGAUUUCACACACUUAAAGUUGGUGUUAAUAUAUAUAUUUAAUUUAAUAUCAUCUUUUAAAUUUUUUUAUCUAAAAAGUUCUUUGUGUGUUUAUUUUUAUUUUUAUUUGUUUGCUUAUAAGUUCAAUGUUCUUAAAUAUAGAAACUUUAAUAAAAUAUAAGUUUUUCAAAUUGAUUUGAAAAUGUUGCACUUUUUGACAAAAUAUUGGUCAAAACAUCGGUAAUCGGUGGGCUAGGACUCUCCAAAAUCAGGAUCGGCAUCGGACCCAAAAAUCUGGCAUCAGUCGGGCUCUAAUUACGACCCAGGUGGGGUCUAGGGAACGGGAAGUAACAUAACACUGAUGGAAUAGUGUAAAGGUGAAUUUAUUGGAAUGUGGGUUACAGUAUACAGCUGGAGUUCUGCUUAAUAGCCUUUGAAAAGAAUAAAAGUGGGAAGUUCAGGCCUCCCCACAAUGGGAAGGCGGACCUGAAUUAUUCCCAGCCUGCCUACAGUCAGCUAGAACACAACAAACUAUAAAGUAAAACUCAAAAACAAAACAAGGCCACUAAAGCAGUACAGCCAGCGCUCAGCGAACGCAAGACUCACAUCCAACAUCAACUGCAAGGAGUUAACUGGUACUAGUGUGAGACUGAUACCUAUCUGUUUGCUUGGCUCUUUCAGUUCUAUGUACAACAGCAGCCUCUGCCACUGUCGCCUGUGGGAAAAUUUCUUGCAGAGCCAACACAUCCAGCUUGAAGAAAACGUUAAAUGUGUAUGGCAAGUUAUUGGUACUAGCUAGAUAACUACCAAAUAAAGGAGUAAUAUUUAGUGGAUAAUGUUUAGUUUGCUGUUAGCCUAAGUAGCUAUCUCAACCGACCGAUUGAUCAGGCAUCAACUACCGUUAGUCAAGGCAUUGUAAGUGAGAUGACCUAGCAAUUGUUAUGACUUCACAAUUACAAAUGUUUUUGGGAUUAGUGACUUUUUUUUGUGCAAUGUCAUUUCCUGGGAGAUAAUGCGAGCAGUUCAUGGACAUAUGCGCCUAGCAGCCCUGUAGUUACAGAGCCAGGGCAAGAGUUUGUCACUCCUCUGUCACACCGUCUGUCCUGCAUUGUGGCUCUCAGUGUAACCUGAAGCCUUUAGAUCGCUUGUCAGGUAGCCUAACUGUCUUGUCAUAUAAUGUUAGUUGUUUUAUAGCAAACGGUCCUGAUGAUAGCCACCGAGUGAACCUGUAUAUAUUUACUGUAUCACGUUGCAGAAUAACCAGUUGAUUGGUAGUAGCUAGCUAGCAAAAAUCCGUGUCGCAGACAGCUGGGUAACUGGCACGUGAGUUCAUUACAAAUUAAUGGUAAAUCAUUGUCUGGUGGGGACCAAAUCUGUACAAACAGCCUAAUGUGAAAACCAGGGGUAAUUGACCUAUUAUCAUGUCUAUGUUACCUUAACUAAUGUUAGCUAUCUCUCCAGCUAGUUAACUGGGCUAUUUCUGGCUAAACAAACUUUCAAAUGCAGCCUCUACCUGAUACCUGUUCAUUUUAACUACUGCUUCAUAUGUAUUAACAGAUAAUGUUAAGUCAAAGAAACUUUGUCAUAGUAAAGUAGCUCUCAGUACUAGUACUCACCAAGACACCUGUCCGAUUCGGCACAGAUUCUUCACACACCAGGACUUAAUCUCUUGGUGUUCCCUGUUGUUUUUUUCCCUCAUCCUUGCCUGUUCCCAGUACCUUUGGCGUCUAGCAAUUAUAAGCCUGUGGCCCAUCAUAAGUAUUGGCGAGAGGAUUUUCUACUUCAUCGGUCUCCAUGAUGUCGAGAUUGGGAUUCAUGUUCCUGUUAAUGUUGCUUACUUUCCCAUUGAUCGUAGAUCUCGCUGUGUUCUGACUCCCCUAUGUCACGUCACAUUUGAUUUCCCCAGGUGGGCGGUGCCGAUCAUGUUACAAAAAUAACCACAGGUGUAAUUCUAUGUGUAUUUUUUAUUUUAAAAUCCCAUUGCUGCAUCAUUUUCUCACAUUAAUUCACUGGACAUGCUAACCUAAAAGAUGCCCUUUAAUACACUGUAAUAAUGUAUCUAAUGUUUUUAAGCCUUGGUCAGUUUACCCUGAACUAGCCAGCUUGCUAGUAAUCAUGAUACUUCCCAUAGGGCUACGUAGCUAGCCUUAACUUGACUUUACAUGUAGUGAAAAUCAUGAUAAUCUGAUUAAAACAACAACAACAAAAAUAACAUAGCUGAACUAGUGGCUAGUUAUGUAGUUAGCUGAACAUAAAACUAAUUUUGUUUUCCCUUAUAUAGCGAAUUAGGACAAUUGCGGCUACAACAUCAUAAUCCGUAUUUAUUUAUUUGCGUUGGGUCUGUCAUUUGGCAAGUAAAAGCCAUCAGCUGUAACAAGUAAACACUGAUCUCGUAUUGGUUUCAUAAACUCUGUGUGGCAUCAUUCUGCCUUCAAUUUGUUGUCUUUGAGGUUCCUUUACCGUUAGAAUUCUGCCUUCAAAGGGAGCUUACUUCUGAGGAUGCAGGCAGUGAGGCAGCUGCCUGCAUCCUCAGCCUAUUUAAUUUCCAACAAGAUUAGGCUAUCUUGCAUGAAAUAAAUGAAAAGAUAAAUUAAUUUGGUCAUAGCCGCAUUAAAAACAAACAAAAACGAAUAGCAAAGGUAAAUAGCCUAUACAGACCAGUCUGGUGUGUGCUUAAUAUAAAUGAAUGUGACCAGGUGGCUGUUUCUUUUCCAUUAAUAAUUUGGUAGUGGAUUGAACAUGUGUACAGUCCUGAAAUGGCUACUGUUGCAGCAGUGUACAAAAAGUUAUAUGUCCUAAGUGAAACUAACAUGCUAUUAGCCAUAGACUGCUCAAAACUAUUUUCAAGUUUCACUGUCUGACCAUGAAGUUCUAUGAAUAACUGUUUAUAAACGUAAAUUUCACCCAAAUACACACAGAAAAAUAUGGGCAACAAGAAUAGGUUGCCCCUAUUUACAUCUCAUCAUUAAAAUGUAUUUUCCUGUCCUUUCCCAAAUUACCGCUGCCCUUAUCUUUAAAAUAAGAGUAGCGGUAAUUUGACUGCAAGCCGCUGUUUGUUUGUGAGUCCAGUGGUUGAAGCGUUAAGUAAGAUUUGAGAUUUGUGAGUGGAUUUGUGUGCUUACCUGGUGAUGAAAAACAAGUAGUCCUGUGGAAAAACAA